GCCCAUAUGCGCGCACAGCCGCAGCGCAGCACAUAGGCAGUGAGAAGCAGAGCUGGCAGCUGCUGGGAGAAACAGAUCAUCUCCCUUCAAGGAUCGUGCUGAGAACUUUGCUUGUCAACAAAUCACCCAAGUGCCUUGGAACGAAGGCGUAAGCAGAUAUGAAGUCCAGGAUUGUCUAUCCUUUUCUAAAGAUGAAGUACAAAGAUUUUUGCUCUCGCAAGGCAUCUAGAUAAAUCUAAUUAAUACCCCAGAGAGGAGCCUUGCAUUUUGGGAAGACAGACUCAUGCCAUCCCCUCUAAUGGCAUUUGGGGAAGAUCUACACCUGGAAACCUCAUGAAAUGAACUAAGGAAGAAGUUACUCUUAAUCUUAAUCAUCAGUCUUCUUAAAAUGGCAGCAUUUGAAAUCAUCUUUAAAUAGAAAAACGUUUUCAAAACAUGCAACUACUUACUGAUCUU